GCCUGGAUGGCUCAGUCAGUUGAGCAUCUGACUUCGGCUCGGAUCAUGAUCUCAUGGCUCGUGGGUUCGAACCCCACACCAGGGG
rnacentral:tRNA from 1 species